rnacentral:rRNA from 1 species
CCUACGGGGGGCAGCAGUGGGGAAUAUUGCACAAUGGGGGAAACCCUGAUGCAGCGACGCCGCGUGAGUGAAGAAGUAUUUCGGUAUGUAAAGCUCUAUCAGCAGGGAAGAAAAUGACGGUACCUGAUUAAGAAGCCCCGGCUAACUACGUGCCAGCAGCCGCGGUAAUACGUAGGGGGCAAGCGUUGUCCGGAAUCAUUGGGCGUAAAGAGUUCGUAGGCGGCACGUAAAGUCUGGUGUUAAAGGCAGAGGCUCAACUUCUGUACGACACUGGAUACUUGCGAGCUAGAAUGCGGUAGAGGUAAAGGGAAUUCCUGGUGUAGCGGUGAAAUGCUUAGAUAUCAGGAGGAACAUCGGUGGUGUAAGCGCUUUACUGGGCCGUAAUUGACGCUGAGGAACGAAAGCCAGGGUAGCAAAUGGGAUUAGAUACCCUGGUAGUC